rnacentral:lncRNA from 1 species
GAUUCUUGCUUGUAUCUCUAUUAUGCAAUUCAUGUAGGGAACUUGUAGGGAAUGUUUUGGGUUUUCGUAUGCAAUCAUCCAACCUAAUAACUUGUGGAAAAACUGAGGGUUAAUUAGUGCAAUUCACGGUUAAUUUGGGGCGUUGAGUAUUCAUAGUUUAUUGAAAAGCAACUGGAAAUCGUUUUGUAUGCAAGUGUGACAUGUGUGGAGAAGAACCUCCUAGCUAGCCUUCCAUCCAUAAGUUUCAUUCAAAUUCAUUUACAAUCUGUUUUGUUUUACAAAGUGUGUUUUGUUUUCAAAUUCGUCAAGAACCAAUCUCCCAUUUAUUUCAAAGUGUUAGAUUAGUUAGUAAUCACUUUAGUUUGUGUUUUUAAGUGUCUUGAGUCAAGUCAUAACCCAAUUUUGUCCAAUUUAGUGUUAGGUGUUCAAAACUGCCCAGAAAGUGUUUUUAAGGCAGUUUUGAGUGUUUAUUUGCUGUUUUGAAUCUUUUUGUUUAUCUUAGUAUUUUAAAGUAUAGUUUUGCAUUCUUUGAGUCUAGUUUAGCGUUUAAACUUUGUUUUUACGUUUUCAAGUCAGUUUUCAAGUGAUUUAGCAAUCCCUCCUAAUCCCCAGCCUAGAACGAUCCCUACUUACAUACUUUACUACAUUUGAUAAAAAGAAGGUUUAAUUUGUGUGCUUAUAUAUUUCGCAUCAAAUUUUUGGCUCCGUUGCCGGGGAUUAGCAACUUUG